UCGAGAAUAAUUCACAAUGGGGGCAACCCUGAUGGUGCAACGCCGCGUGGAGGAUGAAGGUCUUCGGAUUGUAAACUCCUGUCAUCUGGGAGUAAGACCUGGCUGUGAAUAGCAGACAGGGUUGAUAGUACCAGAAGAGGAAGGGACGGCUAACUUCGUGCCAGCAGCCGCGGUAAUACGAAGGUCCCGAGCGUUGUUCGGAAUCACUGGGCGUAAAGGGAGCGUAGGCGGCGUGGUAAGUCAGAUGUGAAAUCCCGGGGCUCAACCCCGGAACUGCAUCCGAUACUGCCGUGCUAGAGGAUUGGAGAGGUAGCUGGAAUUCUUGGUGUAGCAGUGAAAUGCGUGGAGAUCAAGAGGAACACUCGUGGCGAAAGCGAGCUACUGGACAAUAUCUGACGCUGAGGCUCGAAGGCCAGGGUAGCGAAAGGG
rnacentral:rRNA from 1 species